rnacentral:lncRNA from 1 species
GGCACACCACUGUCCCCUAUUCUGAGGGUUGUAAUAAGUGGUCAUCACGCAGAAUGGAGAGUGAACCUUACUAGACAUUGUCACAAGUGGGAAGAGGUAACAGACAUCAUGCUGGAGUGAGGUGAUUGUAAAAGAGGUAAUAAGGAGAUCUCCAGAAACUGUUUCCUGGAAUUGAUGAAGUGUGCCACACAUAAGAGUAAGGUAAAACAUGAAAAAUGGCCAGGCGUCAUGGCCCUUUCCAGCCCUAAACAUAUGGUUGUGUUGGUUUAAUGUUAGAGAAAAUGAGCAUAACCAAGAAAGAAAGAUCUUUUUUUUUUUUUUUUUGAAACGGAGUCUCGCUCUGUCGCCCAGGAAAGCAUCUUAAUAGUAUUCCAAGGGUGUUGGUGUUUCUCAAGACAGCUGAGAUUUCCUCCCAUCUCCCAUCUAAUGGAUUCACACUCAGAAAAGUAACCAUAACUUUUCAGGGUAAUAUUCUGAGUGCACAGGUUUCUCUGAGAAGGGUCCAGGUGCCGCCAUUCCUCUCUGCUGAAAUCGAUAGCCACAUCCCUGAAGGACACUGAUCCCUGUAAGGGCAAAUUCCUGUUAAAUGUGCACAGUCAGCUUAGACGGUUGGAGAGACUAUAUUUAGGAAUAUGGAAUACAGGUGAAUGGACAAGACUGGAAGAUCAGAGACUCAUUGCACAAUUGAUGAGAGAGAAUAUAAAUUGUAGUUGAGCCUGAACAACACAGGUUUGAACUACGCAAGUCCACAGUUACAUGAAUUUUUUUCAAUAAAAGUUACAUAUAGUGUGCAUGCCUCUCCUGCCUCCCCUUCCACCUUCUCCUCCUCUUCUGCCUCUGCCACCCGAGCCAGCAAAACCAAACUCUCCUUUUCCUCCUACUCCUCAGUCCGCUCAGAUGUGAAGAUGACAAAGAUAAAAACCUUUACGAUGAUCCACUUUCACUUAAUGAAUAUUGAAUACAAAUAUCUUCCUUUUGAUUUUCUUAAUAACAUUUUUUUCUCUAGCUUACUUUAUUCUAAGAAAAAAAAAGUCAUGUAUGAGCAGGUCUCUGAAUUCAGGAGAGUGCACGAGCACACAGGAAGAAAUUGGAGACAGAAAUGUAUUAAAGAUACUUGUGAUCAUUAAUAUCUGAAAGUAUGAUUCUUUUUUUUUGUUUGUUUUUGAGAUGGAGUUUCACUCUGUUACCCAGGCUGCAGUGCAGUGGUGCAAUCUCGGCUCCCUGCAACCCCUGCCUCCCAGGUUCAAGCGAUUCUCCUGCCUCAGCUUCCCAAGUAGCU